UACAGAGGUCCCGAGCGUUGUUCGGAUUCAUUGGGCGUAAAGGGUGCGUAGGCGGCGGGGCAAGUCUGAUGUGAAAUCCUGGGGCUCAACCCCAGAACUGCAUUGGAUACUGCCUUGCUAGAGUACUGGAGAGGGAACUGGAAUUUACGGUGUAGCAGUGAAAUGCGUAGAGAUCGUAAGGAAGGCCAGUGGCGAAGGCGAGUUCCUGGACAGUGACUGACGCUGAGGCACGAAGGCCAGGGGAGCAAACGGG
rnacentral:rRNA from 1 species